rnacentral:lncRNA from 1 species
UCAUCGAUAAGGUGUGCUACAGCUGUGGCCUCAGGGGUCACGUCCGAGUACCUCCGCCAUGUCUCGGCUGAUGGCGACGCGUUACAAGGGUCGGACGCGCAGGAGGGUAGCAGAGAGGACGGCACUAUGCAACCGAGGAGUUCUAGUCCCGGGACCGGUGAGGAGGUGUACAGCAUUUUCACCGUCCGGACCGGCCUCGGUGUCAGGCGACCGCCGCUGAUGGUGCCGGUAGCGCUCGACGGUCAGAAGGUCGAGAUGGAGCUGGACACCGGGGCGACUCUGUCGGUCUGCUCUGACGCCGGGUUUCGGCAGCUCUGGCCCUGUGGAGGGCCGAAGCUGGAACCGUGUUCGGUGAAGCUGAAGACCUACAGCGGUGAGCAGCUGCCAGUCAUGGGGCAGGCUGCAGUGAACGUUCAGUACGGCGGACAGGCUCAGCGACUACCUCUCAUCGUAGUCGAAGGUGGCGGGCCCUGGCUGUUCGGCAGGAACUGGCUGGGACACAUCAGGCUCGACUGGCCCUCCAUCUGUUGAGUGACUGCGGAGACCCGUGUGCAGCCCAUCCUGGACGAGUUCGCUGACGUUUCAAGGAGGAGUUGGGCUGCUAUCGAGGCGGGGAAGUCGGCAUCGACGUAGACCCGGACGUCCACCCUCGUUUCUUCAAGCCUCGCACCGUACCGCUGGCCUUCAGGGAAGCUGUGGACGCCGAGCUGGAGGACCAGAUCCGUGGCGGACUCUGGGAACAGAGUGACACCGAUACCUGCUCCUGAUCCGGUCACGGAGAGCGCCGCUGCAUCUGCACGGCAUGCUCCCGUUCCCGGACAACUGGCCUCCACUCCCGACCGGCUGCCGGCUCCUGAUCGAGCGCCUGCUCCUGGCCGGCCGCCUGUUCCGGCGCCGCCCGGGCUGACCGGAGCGGUGCCCGCGCCGGGUGUGACCACCGUCCCGCCGUCCGCACCCUCUCCCAGCGCGCCGCGGUACCGGCUGAGAGACCGGUCCACCCUGCGGCCCCCAGACCGAUACGUGGCGAGCUAUGAGUAGGCGUUUUGUUUCAGUUGUUAUUUGUUCUGUGAGGUGCAUAUUUAUUUGUUUGUCCAUGCUGUGCAAGUAUUCGGGGUGGAGGAGUGUCAUGGAGCUGAGCUGGCGGCCGCCGCGCCGGUGCACGCGUACUUGCGCUCGUGACAUGCGCUCAUGACACUCGUAUGUGAACCGUGGUGGCGUUGCCUCUGUGACCCGGGGGCUACCUGGCCGGCUCGAAUACAGUUUGGACCGAGA